AGAGUUUGAUCAUGGCUCAGAUUGAACGCUGGCGGCAGGCCUAACACAUGCAAGUCGAGCGGUAACAGAAAGUAGCUUGCUACUUUGCUGACGAGCGGCGGACGGGUGAGUAAUGCUUGGGAACAUGCCUUGAGGUGGGGGACAACAGUUGGAAACGACUGCUAAUACCGCAUAAUGUCUACGGACCAAAGGGGGCUUCGGCUCUCGCCUUUAGAUUGGCCCAAGUGGGAUUAGCUAGUUGGUGAGGUAAUGGCUCACCAAGGCAACGAUCCCUAGCUGGUUUGAGAGGAUGAUCAGCCACACUGGAACUGAGACACGGUCCAGACUCCUACGGGAGGCAGCAGUGGGGAAUAUUGCACAAUGGGCGAAAGCCUGAUGCAGCCAUGCCGCGUGUGUGAAGAAGGCCUUCGGGUUGUAAAGCACUUUCAGUCAGGAGGAAAGGGUGUGAGUUAAUACCUCAUAUCUGUGACGUUACUGACAGAAGAAGCACCGGCUAACUCCGUGCCAGCAGCCGCGGUAAUACGGAGGGUGCGAGCGUUAAUCGGAAUUACUGGGCGUAAAGCGUACGCAGGCGGUUUGUUAAGCGAGAUGUGAAAGCCCCGGGCUCAACCUGGGAACUGCAUUUCGAACUGGCAAACUAGAGUGUGAUAGAGGGUGGUAGAAUUUCAGGUGUAGCGGUGAAAUGCGUAGAGAUCUGAAGGAAUACCGAUGGCGAAGGCAGCCACCUGGGUCAACACUGACGCUCAUGUACGAAAGCGUGGGGAGCAAACGGGAUUAGAUACCCCGGUAGUCCACGCCGUAAACGAUGUCUACUAGAAGCUCGGAGCCUCGGUUCUGUUUUUCAAAGCUAACGCAUUAAGUAGACCGCCUGGGGAGUACGGCCGCAAGGUUAAAACUCAAAUGAAUUGACGGGGGCC
rnacentral:rRNA from 1 species